rnacentral:rRNA from 1 species
UACGAAGGUCCCAAGCGUUAUCCGGAUUUAUUGGGUUUAAAGGGUGCGUAGGCGGGCUAUUAAGUCAGUGGUGAAAUCUCACAGCUUAACUGUGAAACUGCCAUUGAUACUGCUUUUCUUGAGUUUGGGAGAGGGUGGUGGAAUUCUUGGUGUAGCGGUGAAAUGCGUAGAUAUCAAGAAGAACACCAGUGGCGAAGGCGGCCACCUGGCCCAUAACUGACGCUCAUGCACGAAAGCGUGGGGAUCAAACAGG